rnacentral:lncRNA from 1 species
ACAAAAGGCUAUUUCAUGGAACCUUCUUUUUCGCAAAUUCAGAUUAUUAAAUACACUCCCAUUUACACGCAUUGGCUUUCACAUGGAACUUUCCUUGCUUGUUGUUAGCUGCUAAAUUAUCCUUUAGUUGCCAAGUUCCAAAAUAAUACUUCAUCCUAAUCAAUCACUUCAUUUUAAACUUGUGCCACACUCACAGAAUUUGAAAGUGACGCACCCUGUGAUUUUCUUUCUGCAGUCACGGGUUCAAAGGAUCUCGUGAUGAUUAUAGUAUUGACUCAACUUGUUGGAAAGAGCAAAAAACAAGUGGUCAAUAUGACUACAAGUUAAAGGUCUUGCUAAUGCAAGUUUCAUUCUAGAACGAGUUCAACUUCACAAAAUGUCUUGCUACUUGUUUUUUACUCUUUAUGCAAUUGUAUAGAUAACGUGCACGUGAAGAAAAUUUAUAUUUCAAGUUGAACCUGUUAUCGUAUAUAAGGCAACCACAUGCCUUGAAAGGCCAAAACCAAAGGCCUCCUUGUUUCUUCACCUUAACUUCUUCUGCUGAAUAAGAUUUUUAUAAGUCAAAAAGCAUCAAGGUGUCACUCAUUUCAUAAACUUUGUAACACAAUCUAUGUUUGCUGGUGAGGUAACUGAAACUCAACGAGAAACUGCAUUAACUAAAACACUUUUGUUUAGUAUUUCAUUUUACCAUUCAUCUUAUCAGGAACAAUUCAUCUUUUGUUGUUCAUCUACAGGGUAUUAGUGAGUUGAAGAUUGGCCUGUUAGGAAUGCUUGUUAGUUUGUGGUUAUUGCCUCUCAAAUAAGCCUCUCGUUUUGUAUAUUUUUAUCAUUUUCAAUCAAUCCGAUGAGUUACUUUUACGAAACUUCUCUUCUAUUCUUUAAACUCUAUACCAUGUGGUCACAUCAAUUCGACGUUAUUCUCUUUCUUAAGAAUUCAAUAAUAGAAUUAAAAGUCCUAAAUUAAGAUGAAAUGAGUGAGACAAGUAAUAAAUAGAGAGUAAUAUUUAUAAAUUUAUUAUCCUAUUAAAAUUUUAGAUUUAAGUUAGUGUCACGUCUCUCAUACAUAUUGGCUCAUAACUCAUGAAUCUUUUCAACAUAUAUUGAUUGUGUCUAAUAUGUUAUCUUUAAAACUUAACACUUCUGAUAUUGAGUUUCCAUUAUGCAGUGAGAAGAAACAAAAGUCUAAGAACAAACCACGUAAAAGCAAAAGAUAGAGGAUGAACAGUAAAACUUGUAUUUGUAUUUGCAUGCUCAAAAGCACAAAACCUAAAGGGUAUAUACAACAAUGAAACAACAAAAAAUGGGCUUAUAAGCAGGCCCAACAAAAAGAAAAAAAAGACAAAAAAAAAGCGUAGCCCAAUAGUCUUCCUUGAGCUGGAGAUUGAAAGCUUACCAACCCAAGCUUCAAAACAAUAGCGUUGAAUAUGGUUUCAUCAAGCAUCUUGGUGAAAAUAUCAAUAAGUUCUUCACAGCUUUUGAUACAAGAACAUCCAUUUUUUAUUAAACAUGUAUAUGAUAUUUUUAUUUCAAAAUAUUAUUAUUUAAUUAAACACUUUUAGAGUGUAGAAGGUAGAAAGGUUGUGCGUAUAGUAUUUUUUUUAUAGUAACAUGCACAAAUAGAUGGUAAAACGGGCGUUUUGGUUUAAUCAUCAUUGAUCCGCU